UACAGAGGUCUCAAGCGUUGUUCGGAUUCAUUGGGCGUAAAGGGUGCGUAGGUGGUGACGUAAGUCGGAUGUGAAAUCUCGGAGCUCAACUCCGAAACGGCAUUGGAAACUGCGUUGCUAGAGGGUUGGAGGGGGGACUGGAAUGCUUGGUGUAGCAGUGAAAUGCGUAGAUAUCAAGCGGAACACCAGUGGCGAAGGCGAGUCCCUGGACAACACCUGACACUGAGGCACGAAAGCUAGGGGAGCAAACAGG
rnacentral:rRNA from 1 species